UACAGAGGAUGCAAGCGUUAUCCGGAAUGAUUGGGCGUAAAGCGUCUGUAGGUGGCUUUUUAAGUCCGCCGUCAAAUCCCAGGGCUCAACUCUGGACAGGCGGUGGAAACUACCAAGCUGGAGUACGGUAGGGGCAGAGGGAAUUUCCGGUUGGAGCGGUGAAAAUGCGUAGAGAUCGGAAGGAACACCUGUGGCGAAAGCGGCUCACUGGACCAUUACUGACGCUGAGGCACGAAAGCUAGGGAGCAAACAGG
rnacentral:rRNA from 1 species